UAAUUUCUGCCCGCCUCAACUCUUGCAGAUUUCCCAUGUAUCUAGGUUGAGCCCAUUUCCUUCUUGUUGCGAUGCCCUGAAUUUUAUUCUGUUCCUGUCAAAUUUGAUAAUGGUGUAGCGAAGGUCUGAAGCAGCGAAGGACCUUGCACAGCAGGAUCUACACCACUUAUCUGUCCUUCCAGUGAAUCAAUAUAUAUACUCUGGUGUUGUUUAGUUCAUAAUGCAACUUAAUGAAAUACAUUUUAUGGCUGCCUUGGAUGCUUUUGAAAUCAUGAUCGAUAUAAGGACCUUGCACAGCAGGAUCUACACCACUUAUCUAUCCUUCCAGUGAAUCAAUAUAUAUACUCUGGUGUUGUUUAGUUCAUGAUGCAACUUAAUGAAAUACAUUUUAUGGCUGCCUUGGAUGCUUUUGAAAUCAUGAUCGAUAU
rnacentral:lncRNA from 1 species